CACAUUAAAGAGUAAGAAAUCCAUAUAAACUGCAGGCCUCUUUGACACCAUGACUGUGAUUAAAGUUUUCAACUACGCUGACUGUAAUGGAUAAAUUUCCCUUCAGAGAAACCAUGCAGAUUGAAGCAAAGCUCCUCCUCCUGUCAGUCCCUCUCAGUUUCAGUGUUGUAUUAAAUUGCUCCUCCAGCACCUCCUCUCCUCAUCCUCCAAACCCUCUAAUCUGUCAGCAGUGAGCUCACUUUCCAGGUUACAAGGCCGUUCUCAGCACACACUGACAACAUGCUGGGGACCCUCUGCACUCUCAUCACUGCUCUAACAUGUGUGAGUGGUGUGACGGUGGUGACACAGAAGCCUCCUGUUGUGACGGUGAGGAAAGGAGAGACAGCCACCAUGGACUGUAACCUGGGGACAGUUACUAACGAAAGAGCUUGGUGGUAUAAACAGACUCCUGGAGGAGUUCCUCAGUUUGUAUUGAGGUUUCGUCACGAUUGGAGCUCUGUGAGAUAUGGCUCUGGUUUCUCCUCUCCAAAGUUCACAUCCACUCAUCAGUCAACAUCAGAUUAUCGUUUGAUAAUCAACAAUGUGGAGGAGGGAGACUCAGCAGUCUAUUACUGCAAAACAUGGGACAUCUCUGUUAGCGAGUACGUAUCACAGUGAUUUACACUGUGACAAAAACCUCCUCACUAUUACUUCUGCUUUUUGAGUCUCUGACACAUCUGGACUGGGAGUGAAGCCAUCAGUCAAUGCUU